rnacentral:lncRNA from 1 species
GGUGAACUGUCUCCUCUCAGACUGUAAGCCAAACGAACUCUUCUUUAAGUCACUCUCUGCCAGGUGUUUGGUCACAGCCAUGAGAAAAGUAACUGAUAGAGACCAGGCCCUGGGCGCCCUGCUGACACGGACGACGGGCGUCUGUCUACACUGGAGUGCAGUGUCACAUCUGGCAGAUGCCCGCUGGCUAGAUGACAUGUUUCUUCCCAUUUCCUACUCUUCUGAAGUUAACUAUCAUGUUCUACUGACUCCAAAUUGUCCUUGGGUAGAUCUGGAGGCUGCCUCUGAAGAAUUACUUAAGACUUUGUUCUUUUAAGGGAUUUAUGUCCAAAUAGAUACCAAUGUUGGCUGCUUUCACAACUGUUACACCCAUCCAGCCAAAAACAUUCUAUCCCUCCCCUCCAUGAAACUUCUUACUGGGAGAAAACUGUUGUUUCCUUUUUUAAUAAAGGAAAAUACCUCCCCUA